AAGGCUUUAUCUUAAUUAAAGUGUCUGGGUUGCAUCCGGAAGAUGUGGGUUAAAAUCUCGCAGGCCUUA
rnacentral:tRNA from 1 species